AAGCGUUGUUCGGAAUUACUGGGCGUAAAGGGCUCGUAGGCGGCCAACUAAGUCAGACGUGAAAUCCCUCGGCUUAACCGGGGAACUGCGUCUGAUACUGGAUGGCUUGAGUUUGGGAGAGGGAUGCGGAAUUCCAGGUGUAGCGGUGAAAUGCGUAGAUAUCUGGAGGAACCCCGGUGGCGAAGGCGGCAUCCUGGACCAACACUGACGCUGAGUGAGCGAAAGCCAGGGGAGCAAACGGG
rnacentral:rRNA from 1 species